GGGAAGGAGACACACACACACACACAGAGGCAGACACCAUGGCAUGGUGGUAUAUGCUUGUCUUCAGAACAUUUAGGAGGUUGAAAGCAUUAGGUUCAAGGCCCCUUUGGCUACAAGAGACCGUGUCUUAAAAAAGAAGCAAACACUAGAGGCAGGCAUGAUGGCUUAGUGUCUGCUUACAAGCCUCAUCCAAGGAGCUCAGUUCCCAAAAGGGGGAGAGAAUCCGUUCCCAUAAGUUGUCCUUAGACCUCACAGUGCACUGGCGCACGUGCAAAUACACAAUAGCAUGUAAUAAUUACAAUUUACACUAGAUACAUAAAUACAGUACUGAGUCUCUGGGACCUUUCACCUCCCACAAACAUACACCUCACAUAAAUCCUUCUAGUGCAGGGAAGAGCUGUUGUCUGACUGUCAAGACUUGCAAGGGAUACUCAGUGGGGGAUGGGCACAUCAAAUAAAUAUGCAUAAUACCCAAGGGGCCUAAACAGAAAAAAAAAAGGAACAGUGGAAGAGGAGGAAGUAUGUGGUGAGCCUGGGGAAGGACAUUGGUGCAAUUUUGACCUUAACCCCGGAGGCAAACAUUGAGAAGACAAUGGAGGGGCUGGUGAGAUGG
rnacentral:lncRNA from 1 species